CAGUCGCCGCGGUAAUACGAAGGGGGCUAGCGUUGCUCGGAAUUACUGGGCGUAAAGGGAGCGUAGGCGGACAUUUAAGUCAGGGGUGAAAUCCCAGAGCUCAACUCUGGAACUGCCUUUGAUACUGGGUGUCUUGAGUGUGAUAGAGGUAUGUGGAACUCCGAGUGUAGAGGUGAAAUUCGUAGAUAUUCGGAAGAACACCAGUGGCGAAGGCGACAUACUGGAUCAUUACUGACGCUGAGGCUCGAAAGCGUGGGGAGCAAACAGGAUUAGAUACCCGAGUAGUCCCUGUCUCUUAUAU
rnacentral:rRNA from 1 species